UACGUAGGGUGCAAGCGUUAAUCGGAAUUACUGGGCGUAAAGCGUGCGCAGGCGGUUCGCUGUGUCCUGUGUGAAAGCCCCGGGCUUAACCUGGGAAUGGCAUGGGAAACUGGCGGGCUGGAGUGUGGCAGAGGGGGGUGGAAUUCCGCGUGUAGCAGUGAAAUGCGUGGAGAUGCGGAGGAACACCGAUGGCGAAGGCAGCCCCCUGGGCUAACACUGACGCUCAGGCACGAAAGCGUGGGGAGCAAACAGG
rnacentral:rRNA from 1 species